UACGAAGGGGGCUAGCGUUGUUCGGAAUCACUGGGCGUAAAGCGCACGUAGGCGGAUCUUUAAGUCAGAGGUGAAAUCCCCGGGCUCAACCCGGGAACUGCGUCCGAUACUGGAAGGCUUGAAUCCGGGAGAGGGAUGCGGAAUUCCAGGUGUAGCGGUGAAAUGCGUAGAUAUCUGGAGGAACACCGGUGGCGAAGGCGGCAUCCUGGACCGGUAUUGACGCUGAGGCGCGAAAGCCAGGGGAGCAAACGGG
rnacentral:rRNA from 1 species